CGGCGGUCAUAGCGUUGGGGAAACGCCCGGCUCCAUUCCGAACCCGGAAGCCUAAGCCCAACUGCGCCGAUGGUACUGCGAGGGGGACCUCGUGGGAGAGUAGGACGCCGCC
rnacentral:rRNA from 1 species